rnacentral:lncRNA from 1 species
GGAGUCUGGCCACGGGUAGAGAGCGCGGUGGCGCGGGCGCGGAACUGCGAUUCUGAGAAUCUUCACCCUGCAGCGGCAGCCCUGAGAAGCCUCGGCGCUUCUCACCUGCGUCUCUCUUGCCUGCCUGGCUCCAGCCCCGAGCCGCCUGGGCCCCGCGCACCUGUAGACCCGAGGCCCAGACUGCCUCUGCCCCUAAUGCUUUUCCGGGCUUGGCAGAGGGGUUCCCGGCGGGGAUUCCUGGGGUCGCGCUGGUGAUACGCAGUGAAGAAAGGCGAGCUGCUGCGUCCGAGCUGGGUGCUCUCCGAGCGCAGGGAGGCGGGCUGCCAUCGGCGGGGCGCCUCUGGGGAGCCCGGGCCGGCGAACCCGCGCGCAAUCUCCGCGGGUCCCGGGCGCCGAGGCCGGGACGGCCGGCGCUUUCGCCUUAGAUGGAAAUGGGGACCGGGCCUCCGGACCCUCUACCGUGGAUUACUUGGUGCAUCUCGGCCGGGCUUGAUGACCCACGACCUCGUCUCCAUCCGUGGAUUGGUGCGUGCUACCCAACAGUCUGGUCGCUUCCCUGGAGGUUUUCCUGGACCCACGCCCAGGAGUGUUUGUUGGAAGAUGGAUGUUCGUUGAUGCCAGAGAUUAGAGCAAGCUGUGGCUUGGUGGCGGUGGUGCGGGAGGCUGGUCUUGUCCGUAUUCCAGGUCAGAGUUUCUCAACCUCAGUGGGGGUUGACUUUGGGGGGCCAUUUUUGUGGGGCACUGUCCUAUGCAUUGUAGGAUGUUUAGCGGUAUCUGUUGACCUCUACCCACUAGGUCCCAGUAAUGUUCUCCAACCCCAGUUCUGAAAACCAAAAAUGUCUUCAAAUGUUACCAACUGCCACCUGGUAGAGUCAGAGGCUCAGUGGCAAAGAAUCCGCCUGCCAAGCAGGAGACAGUAAAAUCCCUGAGUCGGGAAGAGCUCUUGGAGAAGGAAAUGGCAACGCACUCCAGUAUUCGUGACUGAGAAAUCCCACGACAGCCGAGCCUGGUAGACUCCAGUCCGUGGGGUUGCAAGGAGUCAGGCGUGACUUAGCAGCUGAGCACAAGCAGGGUCAAAGUUGCUUCCUUUUGAGAACUCCUGGUCUGCUGCUCUGAUCACUGCUGCCCUUAGACUUUCUGGAGGAAAAUUAUCCUUCCGAGGCCACGCCGUAGGUUGGGAUGAUGAGUGCCCUUUCUUAACUGUGUCCCUUUGCUGUCUUUUUGAACAUGCCCUGACAGGGAGGCCUGGCAAGCUGCGGUUCAUGGGGUCACAAAGAGUCAGGCACAACUGAGCGACUGAACUGAACUGAUCUGACCAACUGACGCCCUCGACAGGAGGAUGGGAAAAGGGGCUGCCUUGGAGGACCAAACCUAUCUCCCCAAACACAAGUUCCUCUAUGGAGAGAUGUACAAUCCUUGUGUUAUCCAGGGCAGGGGAAAAAGCAAGCUGUGAUGUAAAGAGUGACAACAGGUGGCAGGAUGAGUGUCACCAGGAAGCUAAGCAGAACCAGAAAAACCACUUCUGUGUUGGAGGGGAAAGGCAAGCCUCACCAGCUGCUUGCAUGGAAUCAAUGCAGCAUGGCGGCCGGGCCAGGGACGGGCGCCCAUUCAUCAUUUCUGUGUUGGCAGACCCCCUGGGGCCAGCUCCUGCCACCUCUAAAGCGAGGGCUGCGGGCUAUGUCAGGCUGUCUCCUAUCCAAGACUCUGAAUCAUGUUGGGGUCCCCUUACAGAUGCCAACUUUGUUCUUCGAGGUGCAGAAGACCCCCUGACUGCCUUUGGCAAGUGAAUGGAGAUGGUUACACUGUUUAUUUUUUAAGGCCAUUUAUCUAUGGCUGCGCUGGGCCCUCUGUGCUAUGCACGGGCAUUCUUAAGUUGCAGCGGGCGGGGGCUGCUCUGCAGUUGCCGUGUGAGGGCUGCUCCGUGCAGUGGCGUCUCUGGUUGCGGAUCCCGGGCUGUAGAGCCUGGGCUUCGUGUCUGUGGCAGACAGACCUAGCAUGUGGAAUCUUCCCAGACCAGGGAUUGAACCCGUGUCCUCUGCAUCGAUCGGCCCGUGCACUCUUAACCACUAGACCGCCGGGGGAGUCCUGAUACACUCUUUAAGAGGAUCCAGAUAAUCUGAGAUAGAUCUGCAAAGAAGAGGAAAGGGUAAGAGCAGAAGACGAGACCAGCAACCCACAAUCAUUAACCUGGAGCAGCACUGUCCCAUAGAAAUAAAAUGCAAGCUGCAGAGGCCAUUUUUUUGAAGUGUGUUCCAAUAAAACUUUAUUUACAAAAACAGGCAGCAGACUUGCUGGUCAGUAGAAGACUCUGGGCAGUGAUUCAGAUCCCCUGACUUUCAGACUAAUGACCUUUCCCCUUUGCCAUGCUGAUUUUAUUUCCUAGGCACUGGCA